AGUGAGUGUAGUAUGAAAGGUGAUUUAACCCAACACAUAUAGCUUACAGGCACCACCACCACGCAACACCCAACAGACAGACCGUAUACCAGAGAAGUGUGCCCACCCUCUUAGCCACCAUGCUGCACCCUCUUUGUAUUGGCAUCGUCACCGUGAACAUGAGCAUGACGGUCAUCUACUGGGCUUUCCUGUUCGGGGAUUUCUACCAGAGGUGGAUGGCCGAAGCAGACGACAAGCCCAAGGACACAGUCAGCCCUGCAUGAGGAAUACCUUCUGGGACUAAAAAACAAGGCAGCUUUCCUGUAGAACAUAGAAUUGAUUUUAGUGCUUUGCAGUGGACUUUUGUUUUUUUGUUUUUCUUGUUUCAUCAAAAUUGGCAAGUUUCCAGUUUGUUAUCGUUUACAAUAUUCUGUGUUUGUACUGAAUGGAAGGAUUUCAGCCAAACAAUGAGGCAGGAGUCACACCAACAGCCAAGCACCGGACACCUCAGGUCCUGAUCCCAGACUGCGUCCUUGGCCCCAAAACUUUGGAUGACGAGGACGUAGAAGCUGAGGGCGUGGACGUGGGGGAAGAGCACUGCAUUAGCAUACACAGACGGGUGGAGAUGGAGGAGGUGGAGGAGCGGGAGGAGAGAGAGGGGCUGCUGCCGGGGUCUCGCCUGCGUGAGGAGGCAGGAGCUAGCCCUGCACCGCGAAGCGCUUUGGCAUGCAGCUCAAGAGAAACAAGGACAUCGGCUCAUAAUGUGGUGUUCUCCUGCCCAGUCCUCCCUCAUGGCACAUCUCUCUAAGUUAUGGUAGGGUUAGGGUGUAGCAAUGGGUCUCUUGUUUGAUUUUACUGGUUCAGAUCUCCACUGCAGGCAUUUGUCAACGCAAAAUGGUAAUGAUCCAACACAUAAAGGUUGCUUCUGUCUUGUACUGUUGAUGUAGCGUUAAUAUGCUAACAUGAUAUUUAUCAGCCAUUUAGUUUGGUUUGGCUUCCCCUGGCUUGGUACUUAAAAUGUGAGAAUAGAUUCUGGGCAUCGUGCUAAGCAGUAGCACUUGAAGGUAAUUUAACUUGAACCAUUUUCUAAAUGAGACCUCAUUCUAAUUUAAUUUCACAUUUAUUUUUUCACACCUAUUUUCACACCUUAAAAAGGAAAAGCUGUUUCAAGAAGAAUCCAGUGUUUUAUUUUUUUUUCUACUAGAAAACAUUGUAGUUCUGUUUCACAUUAUGUGAGGAAAAAACGUGGUGAUUAUUACCUGUUCGGGUCAAUAAAUGUGAAAUAAGUUGUUGUGAGAGUCAACCAGAAAGGUUAUCAUAUUUAAAUAAAAUAUUGCUGUUAGGUGUCUUUUAAUCAACGUAUCCUGGAAUGUCAUCGAGAUGUCACACAAUGCAUUUCUCCAGUAAAGAAUUGAC